UGUUAAGCAAUACACACGGGAUAACAAGCCACAAAGGAGCCCACGCUUCCCUCGGAGAUACGGGUGCAACUCCCGCUGAAGUGGAUGGGGAUUGCAGCUGCGGGGAGAGAAAAGACGAGAUCCCCUUUUAAGAGUCAGAUCUUAAAUCCGUCAGCAGCCAAAUUGAGUUCGCAAGGUGGAUCCCGCGUAGUCUGGGCACAUUCCUGCUGAAAACAGCAAAUGCAGUAGGGGCCUGAUCUGCAUUCCCUGAUCUCCGUGAGGUACCGAUUACAGGGGGAGCAGACUGGAGCUGCAAACGUCUGGAAACCGAACUGAAUAUGUAACUUUUUCAGCUACCUGCCCAUCGUGGUUAAAGUACUAAUUAUUCAAACCCUAUUCACAGUCAGUUGAUGGAAGCCAACCUCCAGAGAGCUGAGUGUUCAGAAGAUAUAGCCAUUCAGGGUUCACAACAGGAUGGAAGAAAAAUCUUUAUAGGAUGAAAUAGGCAAUCAACUGAAAUCUAUCCUCUUUAAAUAAACUGAUUCCUUAGUAUUUUCCCAGUGUUGGUGUAAGUUGUUGUCUGUGAUGUCCCCCAGGGCUCUUUCCUCUGCUCUCUGAUUUGGUGUAUAAAAGCAGCUCUGAAUGAUGGAUUACUGUGUCAUUGCAGCCUGCGAAGGAUUAAUUUGUUUCAUUGAUUUCUCUUUAGGCAGAUAGCCAGAAUUCGCCGCUUCCCACCUUUCCCCGAGACUUCCAGCAGUAAUAGACAGUAAUAGCCUAAGACAAAUCAGCCCAUUCCUGUAAAAAUAGAAACACAAAAUCCUGAAAUCCCACGAAAGCCAUAAAGAAGCUCUCCACCCCCCACUUUGUGGUGCUGUGAAACCCUGAACAAGAGGAAGGAUACACCAUAUUGGAAAUGAUACUGUUUACAAAGGAGUGAACUAUGUUAGGGCAUUUCUUCCAAUAUUUUAUGCACACAAAAAAGGACCAAAUUCAAAGUCAGAUCCCUUUACACUUACUUGCAGAUGUAUAAAGGAACUUAAGCUGCAGUCACUGACUCUUUAAGGAGCCACAAGCAUUUCAGGGAUGUAAUGCAGUACAGGACAUUACCACACUCCUUUCUUCUUUGGAGGAUUCUCCCUUCAAGACUUCAGUGCCACAGAGGGAAGGAGCUGUGCAGAGACCAUCCAGUUCACUGACUACUCCAUGGAACUCAAGAACAACUGUCAUUAGAGAGGAUAAAGGGAAGCAAUCUGUAGCCUCCUCUCUCCCCCACCCCCUGCAGUUUCUCAUCUCAAUAGGCACACAGGGCUGCCUUGUCAGAACACACUGAACAACAACUGCCUAUUCACUCAUAGAAAGGUUUUCCGUAAGUGUCCCAUUAAUGUACUGGCCCUAUGCUGGAAUGUGAGAUUUGAUGGGCUCAAAUACAGAGAAAUUUUGUUGUAAGGACUCAAGCAGCUUGUGCAAAGCUUUCAAAAUGUAAGCAGGCGCUGUGAGCUGUAGUAUUGGUAUACCAUCAAGUAAAAGAACAGCAGAGGAAAAUAUAUCGAAAAAGUAAAAAGAAUUAAUAUGAAAUCUAGACUUAGUUUUAUCAUAUGAGGGUUAGCCACUGUUUUACUGACCUACAUCAAUUGAGGAUUACAGAGAUUAGUGAAAGGAAUACUUAAUAGCUGAACUGUGGAUUCCAAAGAGGAUUAUCUGAUGGGACAACUGAGGAAGUUAAAGAGAGAAAUGACCUACCCAAGUCACAAAACAAGUCAAUCCAGGAGUAGAACUCAAGAGCUUUGGCUCACAGCUCCACAUGCUUACUUUGGACCAUGCUACCUUGCUGCCAAUAUACUACAGUAAUAACAAUUUACUGCACAUCUCAAUAAAGUGCACUAUGUUCUGUGUACUUAAGCAGAACAAUGCAUUUUUUUCUCAUUAAUACUAAGUCUAUUUGUUGCUCAGCAGGACUAAUAUUUAUACAUUCUGGAUCUUGUGAUGAAGUAGUAAGCUCUGAUUUCAGUUAAAUCUGACAGGUUCUGAUAGCAAAAUGUCAUUAUAGAACUUCAAAAGCACUUGCUCCAUAGCAAGAUCUUUACAAUUAUCUACAUAAUAUCUUUCAACUCCUGUUGGCUCCUUGAUCUUCUGUGGAAAUCCCAACUCCUCUGCCAGUUUUGGUUUAUGAAAAGUUGACCCUUAAGGCAUAACUAUUUUAAAAAAGAUAUGCCAAAAUGUUACAAGAUUUUACCCAGUUUGAUAUCCUUUCUGGAAUACGCACUUAAUAAAAAUUGCAUUUUUACUAAGUAAUUGGCCAUAUGAGUCAUGUGCUAUUCAUGUAUUGUUCAUGAAUCAAACCAAGAGCCAUUUAAAAAUGACUAGCAUCAGGAAAACUUAAUAGCUUUUCAACAGAUUAUUUAAAUGACUGUAGCUAUGAUUUCUAAUAAUUUUUAUCCAAACAGCAAGGCUUUAGUAAGCUGUGGCAGGACUCUCUCCAAAAAGAGUAACUUUCUGAUUAAAACCUUUUGUUACUGGAUUUAAGAAAUUAAAGAAAAAAGGGGAACGUCUGAGUUAUGUAUGCAUCUGUCAAAUCCUGGAUCUUUAUAGUGUAACAAUUUGACCAAUCACAGGUAAAAGAACUGGUGGUUUGGGAGGGAUAUAUUUCACUUUAUGAAUCAUAGCUAAUAACGUAGUUAAGUACUUUCUGAACAGGCACUUCCUGCAGACUGACCAAUCUGUAGAUUGUGUUCCUAGUAGUUUCUGGUGCAAUAGUUUGGCAUGCAUGAUGCAUUUGGAGAGUGAUUUGCCAGCAUUCCAGCAACAUAUGCAACUUUAGCUGGGAUUUCUUAGUACAGAUUAGCACCAUUUCGAAUUCCUUGAUUGGUUGAUUGUCUAUACUAUAAAGCCAGGUGUAUUUCACAGCAUCAGCUAUAUUCACCUAUUUCUUUUCUUGUUGUUGUGGUUUGAAUCCUUGAUCUGAUUUUGCCAAUGGCUACCUGGCCUCUCAACACAGUGUUGCUUUUCAGGAAUAUUUUCUAAUAAUGACAACUGUAGUUAACAUUUAUAUUUAUACUGUACAAUUAUACUUAACUAUUUAAAAUUUCAAAAAGAUGCAAAACAUUCAUUAAUUUGACAAAUAAAAUCACUAUGGGGUAGACAAAUAGGAUCAUUAUCCCCAUGUUAUAGAUGAGGAAACUGAGGCUGAAAGAUUAAAUGUCUUGCCCAGUGUCACAUGGGAAGUCUAGUGGCAGAAAGAGGGUUAAACUGAAAGUUACCCCUUCUAGGUGCAUUUCUCGAGACCAGGGUCUCUCAUAUUUGUUUAAUAAUAUAGACCACAUCUUAGUAGAGGGAUUCACUUGUGGACUCCUCCCUUCUCACUCAGGAUCCCAUGUGAUCUUAACUGCAGAAAUUGUUUAUAAAGAAAAAUAGUAUUAGGAAAGUGCCAGCCUGAUGUGA